rnacentral:ncRNA from 1 species
UCUUAUCAAGAGAGGUUGAGGGAAUGGCCCGAUGAAGCCUCAGCAACCUUCAAUGCUUUUACGCGUUGAAAAGGUGCUAAGUCCUGCAAGUUAUGGGAUCCAUAACUUGAAAGAUAAGA